ensembl:rRNA 5S_rRNA 5S ribosomal RNA
AUAGUCUACCAUAGCACUCUGAACACACCUGAUCUUGUCUGAUCUCAGAACCUACGCAGGGUUUGGCCUGGUUAGCACUUGGAUGAAAGAGUUAUCAUACACACUUCA